UACGUAGGGGGCAAGCGUUGUCCGGAAUCAUUGGGCGUAAAGAGCGUGUAGGCGGUCCGGUCAGUCGGUUGUGAAAGUCAAGGGCUCAACCCUUGAAUGCCGGCCGAUACUGCCGGGCUAGAGUCCGGAAGAGGCGAGUGGAAUUCCUGGUGUAGCGGUGGAAUGCGCAGAUAUCAGGAGGAACACCAAUAGCGAAGGCAGCUCGCUGGGACGGUACUGACGCUAAGGCGCGAAAGCGUGGGGAGCGAACAGG
rnacentral:rRNA from 1 species